UACGUAGGGUGCAAGCGUUAAUCGGAAUUACUGGGCGUAAAGCGUGCGCAGGCGGCUAUGCAAGACAGAUGUGAAAUCCCCGGGCUCAACCUGGGAACUGCAUUUGUGACUGCAUGGCUAGAGUACGGUAGAGGGGGGAUGGAAUUCCGCGUGUAGCAGUGAAAUGCGUAGAUAUGCGGAGGAACACCGAUGGCGAAGGCAAUCCCCCUGGGCCUGCACUGACGCUCAUGCACGAAAGCGUGGGGAGCAAACAGG
rnacentral:rRNA from 1 species